AUUGAACGCUGGCGGCAGGCCUAACACAUGCAAGUCGAACGAGUGGCGGACGGGUGAGUAAUGUCUGGGAAACUGCCUGAUGGAGGGGGAUAACUACUGGAAACGGUAGCUAAUACCGCAUACCAUCAGAUGUGCCCAGAUGGGAUUAGCUUGUUGGUGGGGUAACGGCUCACCAAGGCGACGAUCCCUAGCUGGUCUGAGAGGAUGACCAGCCAAACUGGAACAGAGACACGGCCAAGACCCCUAAGGGAGGCAGCAGGGGGGAAUAUGGCACAAUGGGGGAAAGCCUGAUGCAGCCAUGCCGCGUGUAUGAAGAAGGCCUUCGGGUUGUAAAGUACGUUCAGCGGGGAGGCGGUACCCGAAGAAGAAGCACCGGCUAACUAAGUGCCAGCAGCCGCGGUAAUAC
rnacentral:rRNA from 1 species